rnacentral:rRNA from 1 species
AUUGAACGCUGGCGGCAGGCCUAGCACAUGCAAGUCGAGCGGAUGAAGGGAGCUUGCUCCUGGAUUCAGCGGCGGACGGGUGAGUAAUGCCUAGGAAUCUGCCUGGUAGUGGGGGACAACGUCCGGAAACGGGCGCUAAUACCGCAUACGUCCUGAGGGAGAAAGUGGGGGAUCUUCGGACCUCACGCUAUCAGAUGAGCCUAGGUCGGAUUAGCUAGUUGGUGGGGUAAAGGCCUACCAAGGCGACGAUCCGUAACUGGUCUGAGAGGAUGAUCGGUCACACUGGAACUGAGACACGGUCCAGACUCCUACGGGAGGCAGCAGUGGGGAAUAUUGGACAAUGGGCGAAAGCCUGAUCCAGCCAUGCCGCGUGUGUGAAGAAGGUCUUCGGAUUGUAAAGCACUUUAAGUUGGGAGGAAGGGCAGUAAGUUAAUACCUUGCUGUUUUGACGUUACCAACAGAAUAAGCACCGGCUAACUUCGUG